rnacentral:rRNA from 1 species
GAUGAACGCUAGCUACAGGCUUAACACAUGCAAGUCGCAGGGUAACAUGAGGAAAGCUUGCUUUCCUUGAUGACGACUGGCGCACGGGUGAGUAACGCGUAUCCAACCUUCCCAUAACUACGGGAUAACCCGUUGAAAGACGGCCUAAUACCGUAUGAUAUCGUUUGCUGACAUCAAAUAACGAUUAAAGGUUUAGCGGUUAUGGAUGGGGAUGCGUCUGAUUAGCUUGUUGGCGGGGUAACGGCCCACCAAGGCGACGAUCAGUAGGGGUUCUGAGAGGAAGGUCCCCCACAUUGGAACUGAGACACGGUCCAAACUCCUACGGGAGGCAGCAGUGAGGAAUAUUGGUCAAUGGGCGAGAGCCUGAACCAGCCAAGUAGCGUGCAGGACGACGGCCCUAGGGGUGGUAAACUGCUUUUAUGUGGGGAUAAAGUGCGUGACGUGUCAUGCAUUGCAGGUACCACAUGAAUAAGGACCGGCUAAUUCCGUG